UUUUACUCCUUACGGGAGGCAGCAGUGGGGAAUAUUGCACAAUGGGCGAAAGCCUGAUGCAGCGACGCCGCGUGAGGGAUGACGGCCUUCGGGUUGUAAACCUCUUUCAGUAGGGAAGAAGCCCUCUUUGGGGGUGACGGUACUUGCAGAAGAAGCGCCGGCUAACUACGUGCCAGCAGCCGCGGUAAUACGUAGGGCGCAAGCGUUAUCCGGAAUUAUUGGGCGUAAAGAGCUUGUAGGCGGUUUGUCGCGUCUGCUGUGAAAGACCGGGGCUCAACUCCGGUUCUGCAGUGGGUACGGGCAGACUAGAGUGCAGUAGGGGAGACUGGAAUUCCUGGUGUAGCGGUGAAAUGCGCAGAUAUCAGGAGGAACACCGAUGGCGAAGGCAGGUCUCUGGGCUGUAACUGACGCUGAGGAGCGAAAGCAUGGGGAGCGAACAGGAUUAGAUACCCUGGUAGUCCAUGCCGUAAACGUUGGGCACUAGGUGUGGGGGACAUUCCACGUUUUCCGCGCCGUAGCUAACGCAUUAAGUGCCCCGCCUGGGGAGUACGGCCGCAAGGCUAAAACUCAAAGGAAUUGACGGGGGCCCGCACAAGCGGCGGAGCAUGCGGAUUAAUUUGAUGCAACGCGAAGAACCUUACCAAGGCUUGACAUGGACCGGAAAGACCCUGAAACCAGGUGCCCCCGCUG
rnacentral:rRNA from 1 species